rnacentral:lncRNA from 1 species
CACCUCACUGACCAGUACGUGAAUUGCAGAAUGGCAACUUACGAUUCAAAAUUAAAUUUGAAUAAAUUCACCACAAACACAUACAAAAUGCUUACAGCGUGGCGCCUGCAAAUAUGAAGAUGACCAUCUGAGCUUCAAACAAAGAAGAUAACAAGCAGUCACGACAACACCCAAGUCGUGCCACCACAAAGAGAACUGAAGCCAACACAGAGACCAAUCAAAGGCAAGAAGCACUGUCGAGACCACCUAAAACCACAAUCUGAAAUGAAGCUGGCCGGACCAACAAUUGCCAAAACCCUAACCAAAAACUAAUCUGGGAAGCCCAAUCUAAGUAUAACCCAACGCAAAAUUGGAAGAAACCCAAAAGCAACUGAAUUCGAACCACUCCAAAAGCUAAGAGCUGCCCGAACUCAAAAUCAGAGACUUCUAAAGUGGUCGGCCAAAUUGAAAAUACGAAAAAUACGUAGAACAAAUAACAAGCAGCACAAAAAAAAUGAAAGAACUUCAGACAAAGAUAAUCAUCGGAAAGAACUUCAGUCAACCUUGUAGUUUUCGGGCAAAAAAAGCUCCAAAUUUUGUCAGGUUCAUCGUUACCAAAGAAUGGAUAAACCAAAAUUACACUGUCAAUUUUGAUACCCGAGCAGGAUUCGUCUAGGCUGGCUCGAAUUGCCAUGUUAUGAAAAAGAUUGGCUCCGACGCUGUUGCCGGAGAGGAAAACCCGAUCAAAAUUGGCUCAAUUUCACAAAAUUUGUGGGUGUCGCUGCGGGUAAUCAUGUAUUGCAAAAAAAAAAAAAAAAACUCAACAAAUCAAGGCACUCAUGAAUCUAUUUCUUCCUCAAUUGAUGGAUUCAUUCU